CAAUUUGUUAUUUAUAUUUUGUGCUAAUAAGUUGGUCGUAAGUACUCGUAUUAUUAUAUUGAGAAAUAGGGUAGUUAACUAUAUAUGGUACUUGAAUAUUCAGAAUGUAGGUAAUAGCUUACUUAUAUCAUAAUGAUGUAUACGAUAAUUUACAAUUCAGUCAAUGAAAAACGCCUUCUAUCUUUUCAAGCCGGGUGUGUAAUCAUUUC